UCUUGUGAGCAACUGUGAAACAGGGUGUAACGUUUCUCUAUGGUGAAACCUUUUCGAGGUGUUUCUGCGUUGUAUUUUCGAUUUAAGUGGUCUUCGCUGCCGUGGUUAGUUUGUUUGGCUGCCCAGACUUGUUGCAGCCCAAGUAACAGUGGAGGUCAGCGUUAUUUUCUUACCAGAUUUGCUAGUGAGUGGUUCAGCCAUGGCUAUGUAUGGAAGAGAGCAGGCACUAUUUUGCAAGUCGCCUAUUACUUAAUUGCAGGCAUUAUGGGCAUGCUGCCUUUACGACUGGCUAUUCUGAAGACUGGAGAGCAGUAAGCACAGCAUGUGCUAUGACAGGAAAUGUCAGAUGGUGGAGGCCCACGACACCUCGGCACCAUCAAGAAUGCCAGCAAAGGAAAGGGCCCUUCGCGGAACACGUGGCAGUUUGCAUAUUUCCGCAGAAUAAGCAGCAUGGAGAUCCCCUGCCGUGGGAGUGGAGCAUUAAAACGAGCGGCGCACGUGCUCAUUGUGUGUGCCACGCUUGCUUUCUUGGUGCACUGGUGGAUGUGCGCGCUUAACAAAGCUAGGAGCCUUGGGCUGUCACAGGGAUGCUGUCAACCGAACAGUGACUCCUACGCCUUUGUUAAUGUUUGCGGGGAGAGAACCGGGUGGGGAGCUUGGUGCUUUACAGGGAACUCUCGGCGUAGACCGGAAGCCCACAAUGGCCUCGCGUUAAAAAAAAAAAAAAGAAAAGAACACGGUGAUGAAGUGCGGCCUUACACGUGUUAUAGGUACUUUUGCUAUGUAUUGAGAAUAUUUAUCAAUUACUUAUUUACUUAAUUUGAAAGCGUGAAUUAUUGAAUUGUAUUUAACCUUUAUUUUCUGAUAUUGGGGAUAGAAUGCUAAUGAUACUCUACAAGAGACAGAAUGUGAUGUAUUUCUCCAGAAAAAACCUAAUAGUCAUUACAGGAGCUUUCUGUUCUUGUGGUACUUUAAAAUCCACUUUGUCAAAAUAAGAAUAAAAACUAAAUUUUAUUUCAACUUUAUAUUUUGCUGACCUUAUCAGAAGUGAGACGACCCCUCUUUUCUGUACAAAUUUGGCCAGCUUUAAAAAAUAUUCUUUCACAGGGUACACUUGUCGUGGGUAUACAAAGCCAUUUUAAAGCCAGUGCAUACAAGUUCGGGUAGGUGAAUUUUCUACUUUCCCACCACUUCAGCGGUUCAUUCUUACGGUUCAAGUACAGCUCGUUGAGGUAUUAUCUAUCUCAACGACGGCCUGAGCUGUAGGGUCUUGGUUUCCUUGCAAGGAACUCAAACUCGCGUCAAACUCAUCCCAUACUGAGGAGGUCUGAACAGGCGUUGCGGGCUCAUUGCUUGGUCCGGGUUGUGUACUUUGGAUAGUCGCUUUUACCCUCAAAACAAGCGCUUUCUUAUUCGACUUAAACUUUGCAUCAUCCCCAAAGCCUUGCGACAUAAACCGUGGGUCCAAAAUUAGGGAUUGAGAAAUUAACUCGUUUGAUUCUCCGUUUCCAAAUUGCCGUGUCAGACCAUCUACGAGUUCGUUUGCAAGCUUUGCAAUA